rfam:Brassica oleracea var. oleracea cultivar TO1000 chromosome C2, whole genome shotgun sequence
CACCGCUCGUCGCUCCUACCGAUUGAAUGAUCCGGUGAAGUGUUCGGAUCGCGGCGACGUGGGUUGUUCGCCUUCUGCGACGUUGCGAAAAGUCCACUAAACCUUAUCAUUUAGAGGAAGGAGACGUCGUAACAAGGUUUCCCUAAGUGAACCUGCAGAAG